AUUGAACGCUGGCGGCAGGCCUAACACAUGCAAGUCGAGCGGAGCGGUGGACGGGUGAGUAAUGCUAAGGAAUCUGCCUGGUAGUGGGGGAUAACGUCCGGAAACGGGCGCUAAUACCGCACACUAUCAGAUGAGCCGAGGUCGGAUUAGCUAGUUGGGGGGGUAAGGCCCUACCAAGGCGACGCUCCGUAAGUGGUCGGAGAGGAUGAUCAGUCACACUGGAACUGAGACCCGGUCCAGUCUCCUACGGGAGGCAGCAGUGGGGAAUAUUGGCCAAUGGGCGAAAGCCUGAUCAGGCAAUGCCGGUUGUGUGAAGAAGCUCUUCGGAUUGUAAAGCACUUUAAGUUGGGAGGCGUUACCAACAGAAUAAGCAACGGCUAACUACGUGCCAGCAGCCGCGGUAAUAC
rnacentral:rRNA from 1 species